GAUGAACGCUGGCGGCGUGCCUAAUACAUGCAAGUCGAGCGAACAGACGAGGAGCUUGCUCCUCUGACGUUAGCGGCGGACGGGUGAGUAACACGUGGAUAACCUACCUAUAAGACUGGGAUAACUUCGGGAAACCGGAGCUAAUACCGGAUAAUAUAUUGAACCGCAUGGUUCAAUAGUGAAAGACGGUUGUGCUGUCACUUAUAGAUGGAUCCGCGCCGCAUUAGCUAGUUGGUAAGGUAACGGCUUACCAAGGCAACGAUGCGUAGCCGACCUGAGAGGGGGAUAGGCCACACUGGAACUGAGACACGGUCCAGACUCCUACGGGAGGCAGCAGUAGGGAAUCGUCCGCAAUGGGCGAAAGCCUGACGGAGCAACGCCGCGUGAGUGAUGAAGGUCUUCGGAUCGUAAAACUCUGUUAUUAGGGAAGAACAAAUGUGUAAGUAACUAUGCACGUCUUGACGGUACCUAAUCAGAAAGCCACGGCUAACUACGUG
rnacentral:rRNA from 1 species